AACAUUCAGUUUUGUUUAUUCAACAAAAACUUCCUCCACGCGGUUCUUUUCCCCUAAAUUUCCCUUCUCCUUCAGCACCCAUCACGAUUCGUGCAUCUUCUUCUUAGACCCUUCAUCUUCCAAAAAAAAUCUUUCUCAUCCAUCUUCUUCUUCGUUUAAUUGUCUUCCAUUCUCAAAAUCCACUAAUAUCUUCUCCCCUUGUUUCAAACCCCCA
rnacentral:lncRNA from 1 species